rnacentral:other from 1 species
AACUGUCUGCCCGAUUCGCGGACUGUGCACAUAUAACCCUACACUCAUCGAUUUGGGAGCCCCCCUCCGCCUGCGGAUUGCAGACCUCCCGGCCCGGCGCGCCCCGCGCUGCCGGGUUGGACGAAGGGAGCGUGAACCAUGCGGGAGGGCACCCACCUGUCUUCCUUGUAGGCAGGUUAUUGAGUUGCACAUUACGGUCGGGCGGGCUAACU